rnacentral:rRNA from 1 species
UACGUAGGGUGCAAGCGUUAAUCGGAAUUACUGGGCGUAAAGCGUGCGCAGGCGGUUGUGCAAGACAGAUGUGAAAAUCCCCCGGGCUCAACCUGGGAAUUGCAUUUGUGACUGCACGGGCUAGAGUGUGUCAGAGGGGGGGUAGAAUUCCACGUGUAGCAGUGAAAUGCGUAGAGAUGUGGAGGAAUACCGAUGGCGAAGGCAGCCCCCCUGGGAUAACACUGACGCUCAUGCACGAAAAGCGUGGGGGAGCAAACAGG